GCGUGGAACGUGCCUUUCACUACGGAAUAGCUUUUGGAAACGAAAGGUAAUACCGUAUACGCCCUCCGGGGGAAAGAUUUAUCGGUGAAAGAUCGGUCCGCGUUAGAUUAGCUAGUUGGUAAGGUAAUGGCUUACCAAGGCUGCGAUCUAUAGCUGGUCUGAGAGGAUGAUCAGCCACACUGGGACUGAGACACGGCCCAGACUCCUACGGGAGGCAGCAGUGGGGAAUCCUGCACAAUGGGCGAAAGCCUGAUGCAGCCAUGCCGCGUGAGUGAUGAAGGCCCUAGGGUUGUAAAGCUCUUUCGCUAAGGAUGAUAAUGACAGUACUUAGUAAAGAAGCCCCGGCUAACUUCGUGCCAGCAGCCGCGGUAAUACGAAGGGGGCUAGCGUUGUUCGGAAUUACUGGGCGUAAAGCAUACGUAGGCGGAUUAUUAAGUCAGAUGUGAAAUCCCGGUGCUCAACAUCGGCACUGCAUUUGAAACUGGUAGUCUAGAGUUUGGUAGAGGUUAGUGGAAUACCUAGUGGAGAGGUGAAAUUCACAGAUAUUAGGUGGAACACCAGUGGCGAAGGCGACUGACUGGGCCAAUACUGACGCUGAGGUACGAAAGUGUGGGGAGCAAACAGGAUUAGAUACCCUGGUAGUCCACACCGUAAACGAUGAAUGCUAGUUGUUGGCAGGUAUACCUGUCGGUGACGCAGCUAACGCAUUAAGCAUUCCGCCUGGGGAGUACGGCCGCAAGGUUAAAACUCAAAGAAAUUGACGGGGGCCCGCACAAGCGGUGGAGCAUGUGGUUUAAUUCGAAGCAACGCGCAGAACCUUACCUACCCUUGACAUGCCCGGUUUGAUUAGUGGAGACACUUUUCUUGAUUCGUUC
rnacentral:rRNA from 1 species